rnacentral:rRNA from 1 species
CCUACGGGAGGCAGCAGUGAGGAAUAUUGGUCAAUGGCCGGAAUGCUGAACCAGCCAUGCCGCGUGAAGGUCAGUGCCCUAUGGGCGUGAAACUUCUUUUGUUCGGGAGCAAUAAUGGUCACGUGUGGCCAGACGAGAGUACCGUACGAAUAAGCAUCGGCUAACUCCGUUCCAGCAGCCGCGGUAAUACGGGGGAUGCAAGCGGUAUCCGGAUUUAUUGGGGUUAAAGGGUGUGCAGCCGGGAAGACAAGUCAGAUGUGAAAUCGCGGGGCUCAACCGCGGAAGUGCAGUUGAAACUGUUUUACUUGAGUAGGGGAGAGGUCAGCGGAAUGCGCGGUGUAGCGGUGAAAUGCGUAGAUAUAAGGAAGAACACCAGUGGCGAAGGCGGAGGACUGGACGGCAACUGACGGUGAGGCGCGAAAGCGUGGGGAGCAAACAGGAUUAGAUACCCGAGUAGUC